rnacentral:misc_RNA from 1 species
GGCCUUUGUUUCGAGAAGACUGCUUCUUGAGCAACAAGAAAUUAUACACAGGGCCAGAAAGGUCUUCUCUGCGACUCCUCAUCAACGUCGUUUUCCAAUCUCAGCUUUUUGUUCAACUUGCGCUCAAGAUGGAAGAUGUCCUCACAGAGAUUCCACCACCUUCAAGGUUCUUUCAGGAAGAUCUCAACAACUUCACACCUCCUUCAUCACCACUUCCAUCUCCUUUCCUUCUAUUCUCUAAUCCUAAACCUGAUCAACCACUUCGUCCAACUCUCCUCAUCAUUGCCUUAUCUACCUCAUCUCUUUAUGUCUUCAACCAUGUAUCCUCAAAGACCCUAAUCGGUAGUGUCUUCCUACCCGAGAUUCCUUUCUCAGGCAAUACUUUCAAACCCUCUCUUGGAAACAAAUCCUGCAACAUCUAUGCCCUAAACAGUGCUGAUAAUUUGACUCUUCUGGUUUCCAUUCAGUGCUCUGUCAGUACUGAGAGAUCUAAUGUGGUUGCAAAGUUGCUUAUUGGUGAACAAAUCAUUCCUGAGAGGGUUCUAAUCUUGGAUUCAGUUCAGAGCCAGAAUUUCAGGGGUAAGCUUUCAUCUGAUGAAACAUGUGCUUUCAAGCUAGAGACGUUGGCAGAGAGGAAAGGGCAAGAUGGUGUCUGUGGAGUUUCAUCCUUACUGAAGGGUUUAGACUAUUUUCCUUCAGGGAGUAUGGUGGAUGGCUUGGCAGCUGCACUCUUAGCUCGAUGCCAGAUGAGGAACAUCAGAGGAGCUCUCUGUCUUUCCUGGCCUGAAUGUGGUGGUUCUGUGGUAGCUCUUAUAAAGUCUAUCCUGCAGAGAACUGUGUUGCAUGGCAUUGACUUGAGCUCUAAGGGAGAUGCUGAGGAUAAAUACUUAAAGUUUAGUAAGAUUAAGGAUCAUCCUUUUGAUUCUGAGCUGUAUACCUGAUGUAUUAGGUUUGAAAUGCUUAUUUGACUCAAGUUUUUAUAUCUCACAAUUUUUAAAUAUUAUGUGACCAGAAAUGGAUGUCUUUGUUUCCCUUUGACAUGAUCUCUAGCUUUGAUUUCGUGAUGGCAAUAUUUUAAAAGUAUAUGCAAAGAUGAAAAUACUAAUCUUUCC